rnacentral:lncRNA from 1 species
CAUGUACCAAGGCCUUGGAGAAGAUCACCAGGAGCGUGGAAUAAAUUUUCAUAUGUAUUUUUCUUUUUUUAUAAAUUUCUAUAUGUAAUGCUGGAGAGAUCCAUUCAAGUUUUCUUUAGUUACAUUAAAUCUCGUACAAAAAUGACCCGCAAGAAUCGUUGAUAAUGCAAAAACACUGAAAAUAAUAAUGCAAAAACACUGAAAAUAAUAAUGCAACAAACACUGAAAAAAAGUGAGGUUGAUUACAAGUCACUGUGGGUCCCGCUUUGGAUAAAGGAAGAAAAAAAACCGAGAAAAAAAAUGAGCAAUAGCUUGUCAGAUAGGCCUAGAACCGGCCAUAAGUAUCAGUGUCGGGUGCCUCGGGGCCGACAGUGAUAACAAACAUUUUAAAAUCAAAAUUUCAACGGUAUAUGUUUGUAAAUUUGUUGAGUUCUUGCUUCGAGAGUCGUUUCUUGCCAGCCUCUUUCUUCAAGAGUUGAUGUGAGGGGCUAUUCGGUUGUUGAUUGAUGG